UACGUAGGGCGCAAGCGUUGUCCGGAAUUAUUGGGCGUAAAGAGCUCGUAGGCGGCCUGUUGCGUCCGCUGUGAAAUCUCGGGGCUCAACCCCGAGCGGUCGUGGGAAACUGGUUGGCUAGAGUGCGGGAGAGGAGAGUGGAAUUCCUGGUGUAGCGGUGAAAUGCGCAGAUAUCAGGAAGAACACCCGUGGCGAAGGCGGCUCUCUGGAACGCAACUGACGCUGAGACGCGAAAGCGUGGGGAGCAAACAGG
rnacentral:rRNA from 1 species